rnacentral:rRNA from 1 species
AGCAGCCGCGGUAAUUCCAGCUCCAAUAGCGUAUAUUAAAGUUGUUGCAGUUAAAAAGCUCGUAGUUGAAUUUCGAGAUCAAUUUGUCGGUCGUGCCUCGGUACGUACUGGCAUUAUUGAUUUCUCCCUUCUGAAGAACCGCGAUGUCAUUAAUUUGGUGUCGUGGGGAAUCAGGACUGUUACUUUGAAAAAAUUAGAGUGUUUAAAGCAGGCUCACGCUUGAAUACAUUAGCAUGGAAUAACGGAAUAGGACGUUUGAUUCUAUUUUGUUGGUUUCUAGGAUCGACGUAAUGAUUAAUAGGGAUAGUUGGGGGCAUUAGUAUUCAAUUGUCAGAGGUGAAAUUCUUGGAUUUAUUGAAGACUAACUACUG